AAACACACAACUUGAAAAUAAGGUAGCCAAAGAUUGAAGGUCCCUGUCCUCAAAACCUCUGCCUAUCAUGAGAGUCAUGUUCGAAGGCCAAGGGCUAACUGGAAUUUCAGAGGAAACAGUUCAAUCUUCUCCGGAACAUGGAAAUAUCCUUGUUGUCCGGAGAGAAGGCGGCAACUUGUGUACCCUCUUGGUGUUGCUCUAGCUACACCAUGGUGCCAGCACAGAUAGUCAUUCCCGGAGCCUGAACUCUUCUAAGGAAUGAGCGAUACGAUCUCUGCUGGUAGCCUGGGGGCCGAGCAAUUAUCCUGGAGUGACAUGGCAUUGUCGCUGGCCUCUUUCCUGAAGAGGCUGAACAGAGCGUCACCGUCCUCAGGAAGCUACGGCUGCAACACAGAGGCAGGAUUCGGGAUCAUCUCGUGCUCACCAGCGGCGGGGCCACUCGUCUGCGUGUCAUCCAGCAAUCCUUCGCAGACGCCCGAGGGAUCACGCUGGCCACGUUGCUCAGCAUCUGAAUUGGGCACCACUGCUCGGCCGCCACACGCUGCCACCACUGACGCCGUUCUGCCCCACUGAGUUCUUGCUCUCCUGCGGCUUCUGUCGCCGCUGGAUCGGUGGCAGCCCCAUCUACAUCUACAAGUAAGCCCAUCGAACGAUGACACAUGGAUGCAAGAAUGGUAAUUAAGGUCUACUGAUGCAUGCAUUCCAUGUGGCAGAGGUGAGAUGGGGUUCUGGAAGCCAGAGUGCCGGGACGACUACAUCGUUCAUGAGCUCAACGGGGAGAGGGCCAAUAAGAGGCAGAAGACCCCAAUGAUGGAUGACGGCCGCAUUUUCUUCACCUGCACCGAUAACCUGUGAUGCAGCAAAUAUAUGUGGCUCUCAUUGUGCAAAUUAAGUAGCAACGUUGGGUAGCAUUGGAGAGGUGUAAUUAAGGAUCGAGAAAGAAUUGAUUUACUUGUGUUUCCCAAUUUUGGAAAGAAAGAGAAAGAAUAGAAAGGAAAUUUUGUUUUCCUGUGGC